GAUGAACGCUGGCGGCGUGCCUAAUACAUGCAAGUCGAGCGAACAGACGAGGAGCUUGCUCCUCUGACGUUAGCGGCGGACGGGUGAGUAACACGUGGAUAACCUACCUAUAAGACUGGGAUAACUUCGGGAAACCGGAGCUAAUACCGGAUAAUAUAUUGAACCGCAUGGUUCAAUAGUUCAAGACGGUUUUGCCGUCACUUAUAGAUGGAUCCGCGCCGCAUUAGCUAGUUGGUAAGGUAACGGCUUACCAAGGCAACGAUGCGUAGCCGACCUGAGAGGGUGAUCGGCCACACUGGAACUGAGACACGGUCCAGACUCCUACGGGAGGCAGCAGUAGGGAAUCUUCCGCAAUGGGCGAAAGCCUGACGGAGCAACGCCGCGUGAGUGAUGAAGGUCUUCGGAUCGUAAAACUCUGUUAUUAGGGAAGAACAAAUGUGUAAGUAACUAUGCACGUCUUGACGGUACCUAAUCAGAAAGCCACGGCUAACUACGUG
rnacentral:rRNA from 1 species